rnacentral:rRNA from 1 species
CAAGUGUGCGGCGGCUUACCAUGCAGUCGAGGGGCAGCACGGGUAGCAAUACUUGGUGGCGACCGGCGCAAGGGUGCGUAACGCGUGAGCAACAUGCCCGUAUCAGGGGGAUAAUCCAGGGAAACUUGGUCUAAUACCCCAUAGUAAUUUCGUAAGGCAUCUUAUGGGAUUUAAAGCUUUGGUGGAUACGGAUUGGCUCGCGUGACAUUAGCUAGAUGGUAAGGUAACGGCUUACCAUGGCUAUGAUGUCUAGGGGUUCUGAGAGGAAGGUCCCCCACACUGGAACUGAGACACGGUCCAGACUCCUACGGGAGGCAGCAGUGAGGAAUAUUGGACAAUGGAUGGAAAUCUGAUCCAGCCAUGCCGCGUGAAGGAAGAAUGUCCUAUGGAUUGUAAACUUCUUUUGUAUGGGAGCAAUAAGGUCUUCGUGAAGACUGAUGAGAGUACCAUACGAAUAAGCAUCGGCUAACUCCGUGCCAGCAGCCGCGAUAAUACGGAGGAUGCGAGCGUUAUCCGGAUUUAUUGGGUUUAAAGGGUGCGUAGGCUGUUAUAUAAGUCAGUGGUGAAAUAUUCGGGCUCAACCGGGAUACUGCCAUUGAUACUGUAUAGCUGGAAUAUGGUUGCUGUGGGUGGAAUGUGUGGUGUAGCGGUGAAAUGCAUAGAUAUCACACAGAAUAUCGAUUGCGAAGGCAACUCACAAAGCCAUUAUUGACGCUGAUGCACGAAAGUGUGGGGAUCAAACAGGAUUAGAUACCCUGGAUAGUCCACACUGUAAACGAUGAUAACUAGCUGUCGGCGAUAGAUAGUCGGUGGCUAAGCG